rnacentral:tRNA from 1 species
AAUUGGAUAGCUCAAUCGGUAGAGCAACGAACUCGUAAUUCGUGUGUCGUGGGUUCGACUCCCACUCCAA